AUUGAACGCUGGCGGCAUGCCUUACACAUGCAAGUCGAACGGUAGAGGGGCAACCCUUGAGAGUGGCGAACGGGUGAGUAAUAUAUCGGAACGUGCCCAGUCGUGGGGGAUAACGCAACGAAAGCCGCGCUAAUACCGCAUACGAUCUAUGGAUGAAAGCGGGGGAUCGCAAGACCUCGCGCGAUUGGAGCGGCCGAUAUCAGAUUAGGUAGUUGGUGGGGUAAAAGCCCACCAAGCCGACGAUCUGUAGCUGGUCUGAGAGGACGACCAGCCACACUGGGACUGAGACACGGCCCAGACUCCUACGGGAGGCAGCAGUGGGGAAUUUUGGACAAUGGGCGCAAGCCUGAUCCAGCAAUGCCGCGUGCAGGACGAAGGCCUUCGGGUUGUAAACUGCUUUUGUACGGAGCGAAACGGUCUGGGUUAAUACCCUGGGCUAAUGACGGUACCGUAAGAAUAAGCACCGGCUAACUACGUGCCAGCCGCCGCUGUAAAAC
rnacentral:rRNA from 1 species